ACGGAGGGUGCAAGCGUUAAUCGGAAUCACUGGGCGUAAAGCGCUCGUAGGCGGCUUGGUCAGUCAGAUGUGAAAGCCCUCGGCUCAACCGGGGAACUGCAUUUGAUACUGCCAGGCUUGAGUGUCGGAGAGGGUGGCAGAAUUCCAGGUGUAGCAGUGAAAUGCGUAGAUAUGUGGAGGAACACCAGUGGCGAAGGCAGCCACCUGGGAUAAAACUGACGCUGAUGCGCGAAAGCGUGGGGAGCAAACAG
rnacentral:rRNA from 1 species